rnacentral:tRNA from 1 species
GCGCCCGUAGCUCAAUUGGAUAGAGUGGCUGGCUUCGAACCAGUAGGUUGGGUGUUCGAUUCCCCCCGGGCGCGCCA